CACGGCCCAGCCUGACUGAAGCUGUAGGUCAGGGGAAGGACUAGAGGUUAGUGGAGACCCCGUGCCACAA
rfam:West Nile virus nonstructural protein NS5 (NS5) gene, partial cds.